CUAGAUUCGUACUAGCUUGCAUGGUGUACACUUGGUUCAUACUUUAUUGUUGUACACAUACUUGAUUCAUACUAGCUUGCUGUACACUUGAUUCAAACUAUCUUGGUGUACACUUGAUUCAUACUAGCUUAGUGUACACUUGAUUCAUACUAGCUUAGUGUACACUUGAUUCAUACUAGCUUGCAUGGUGUACACUUGGUUCAUACUUUAAUUUUGUACACAUACUUGAUUCAUACUAGCUCUUGUACACUUGAUUCAUACUAGCUUGCUGUACACUUGAUUCAAACUAUCUUGGUGUACUCUUGAUUCAAACUAUCUUGGUGUACACUUGAUUCAUACUAGCUUAGUGUACACUUGAUUCAUACUAGCUUAGUGUACACUUUAUUCAUACUAGGUUAGUGUACACUUGAUUCAUACUAGCUUGCAUGGUGUACACUUGGUUCAUACUUUAAAUUUGUACACAUACUUGAUUCAUACUAGCUUGCUGUACACUUGAUUCAAACUAUCUUGGUGUACACUUGAUUCAAAAUAUCUUGGUGUACACUUGAUUCAUACUAUAUUUUUGUACACUUGAUUCAUACUAGCUUAGUGUACACUUGAUUUAUACUAUCUUAGUGUAACACUUAAUUAUACUACAACAAAAUUAUACACAUUUUAAUUAACUUGCAGUACACUUGAUUUAUACUAGGUUGAGUUUUUUCACUGUGAAAUCAUGAUGAUUCAUUGCAAACAGUUAAAUGUAAGCAUUUAUUGAGGCCUAGAAUUAUAACAUCAAGUUUUAUUUGUUGAUUGUUAUAUAUUGUUGAUUUGUCUGUUAUAUUUGCUGAACUGAAUCAAUCAGUAAUACGAAACAUUUUCUUUU
rnacentral:lncRNA from 1 species